CCGAUCACGACAUUCGUUCGAUCCUGCAAGUGUGACAAGGACAACAUCAUCCGCUGGUCUACCUGUUGUUGUUGUCCCGAAAAGGAAAAGCAGGAUAAUCGUACGCGCAACGCGAUUCGCGACCCUUGUCUGUCAGUUCGCAGUCAGUCGUUCGUUCCGUCAGUCAGUCAUCUCCGUUCGCUGCUCGCGGAAGUCGCGAAAAUUAAAGAGCAGCGCGUUCUUCUGCUAUUACCUAGAGUGUUCUUGGUUGAAGGAAUUUUAUUUUGAUUUUGGUGCGUUUCGUCCGUGUGCUGCAAAUUAUCUGUCCGAAGGUGUUUUCCCGGAGAUCGAGAAUCGAGACCGUGUUACGGAAUAAGUCGGUCUUUGCUUAGCGUUGAGUGAUUUUUUUUGUGCUUCUUUAUUCUCUGCGCGAGUGCGUUUUCGCAAAAUUCGAGACGAGACGUCCUUCACGCGAGCGCCGAAUGUGUGUGGGGGUUUCUCUUCGCCCCGUUGCCCAAUUAGAGUGGCCCAGCAGUGUCGGAAGAUCGAAUUGCGAUAGGUGUAGUUUUUUUGGCCUUCUAUCUCUCGAUACUGUGACGCAGGAAAAUCGGAGAUAAGUACCUACUGCGAGUGAUUGAUAAUAUCGGCCUUUGUAUCUGUAGGUACAACAUUCUGCGGGAAUUGAGGAAACCGAAAAAAAGUGACACAAAAAGUUGCGAUUGUGUGCGACGGCGCUGGUUGCUUUGCUCUUGGAGGUUUUUUAGAGCUGCUUUUGCGCGAGACAAGAGUCGUGUGUCAGUGUCGUGCAAUAUUUUUAUAUUCAACACAA